rnacentral:misc_RNA from 1 species
GAAAUUACUUACAAGGCAUUGGAUGGUGUUCAAAUUGUAAAUGGCUUGGAGUGUAAGAUAUCAUGCACUUCCUCUAAGGUUUCUUAUGUUCUGGACACCGAAGAUUAUUUAAUUCGCACACAAAAGAGGAAGCACCAUUCAUAUGGAGUUGCUGCUUCUUGUCGUGACCGGAUUCAAUUUGCUAAAAAUAGCAAUGUCAAAGUACAGCGAUUUCGUCGGUUUAUAUCCAGAGCCUAACUACUUGUAUAAAGCAAAAGGUCCAGUUUUUUGCUCGAGGGACAGAUAUGAGGCAUGGCUGUGCGAGUGCUCACUUGCUCUAUUCAAAACAACUGUAGCUGGUAGAAUCUCCGGUAUAUAUGUCUCGAGUAAUUUGAUUAUGAUGGCGUAUGUGUAUAUAUGUAGAUCGUG